rnacentral:rRNA from 1 species
UCGGAUGGAUAGAAGAACCCCUGAUGCCGUCGAGCCAAGAAAAGUUUCUAAGUUUAGCUAAUGUUGCCCGUACCGUAAACCGACACAGGUGGGUGGGAUGAGUAUUCUAAGGCGCGUGGAAGAACUCUCUUUAAGGAACUCUGCAAAAUAGCACCGUAUCUUCGGUAUAAGGUGUGGUUAGCUUCGUACUAGGAUUUACUCCGAAAGCGAAGAAACUUACAACAAAGAGUCCCUCCCGACUGUUUACCAAAAACACAGCACUCUGCUAACUCGUAAGAGGAUGUAUAGGGUGUGACGCCUGCCCGGUGCUCGAAGGUUAAUUGAUGGGGUUAGCAUUAGCGAAGCUCUUGAUCGAAGCCCGAGUAAACGGCGGCCGUAACUAUAACGGUCCUAAGGUAGCGAAAUUCCUUGUCGGUUAAAUACCGACCUGCAUGAAUGGCGUAACGAGAUGGGAGCUGUCUCAAAGAGGGAUCCAGUGAAAUUGUAGUGGAGGUGAAAAUUCCUCCUACCCGCGGCAAGACGGAAAGACCCCGUGGACCUUUACUACAGCUUGACACUGCUACUUGGAUAAGAAUGUGCAGGAUAGGUGGGAGGCUUUGAGUAUAUGACGCCAGUUGUAUAUGAGCCAUUGUUGAGAUACCACUCUUUCUUAUUUGGGUAGCUAACCAGCUUGAGUUAUCCUCAAGUGGGACAAUGUCUGGUGGGUAGUUUGACUGGGGCGGUCGCCUCCCAAAUAAUAACGGAGGCUUACAAAGGUUGGCUCAGAACGGUUGGAAAUCGUUCGUAGAGUAUAAAGGUAUAAGCCAGCUUAACUGCAAGACAUACAAGUCAAGCAGAGACGAAAGUCGGUCUUAGUGAUCCGGUGGUUCUGUGUGGAAGGGCCAUCGCUCAAAGGAUAAAAGGUACCCCGGGGAUAACAGGCUGAUCUCCCCCAAGAGCUCACAUCGACGGGGAGGUUUGGCACCUCGAUGUCGGCUCAUCGCAUCCUGGGGCUGGAGCAGGUCCCAAGGGUAUGGCUGUUCGCCAUUUAAAGCGGUACGCGAGCUGGGUUCAGAACGUCGUGAGACAGUUCGGUCCCUAUCUGCCGUGGGCGUAAGAAGAUUGAAGAGAUUUGACCCUAGUACGAGAGGACCGGGUUGAACAAACCACUGGUGUAGCUGUUGUUCUGCCAAGAGCAUCGCAGCGUAGCUAAGUUUGGAAAGGAUAAACGCUGAAAGCAUCUAAGCGUGAAGCCAACUCUAAGAUGAAUCUUCUCUAAGCUCUCUAGAAGACUACUAGUUUGAUAGGCUGGGUGUGUAAUGGAUGAAAGUCCUUUAGCUGACCAGUACUAAUAGAGCAUUUGGCUUAUCUUUAAUAAAGCAU